GGACCAAAUGGUUAUUCAUAUUCAACCUUCAUUGUAAGAGAUGAACAAAAUAAGUGAAAACUCAUUAUCAUCAUUCUAAUCAAGACUAAGAUAC
ensembl:snoRNA SNORD116 Small nucleolar RNA SNORD116